GAUCAAGUGUCUUAAGGGCAUCUGGUGAAUGCCUUGGCAUGCACAGGCGAUGAAGGACGUGAUACGCUGCGAUAAGCCAUGGGGAGCUGCGAAUAAGCUUUGAUCCGUGGAUUUCCGAAUGGGGCAACCCACCUCCGAGCCUUGGUCAGAUCGGAACGGCACUGGAUGGCGAUGAGCUGUCUGGUGGUGUUGCGGUGACCAAGGUUCAACAGCGAGGUAUCUAACCUUCGAAUACAUAGGGGUUAGAAGCGAACUCGGGGAACUGAAACAUCUAAGUACCCGAAGGAAAGGACAUCAACCGAGACUCCGUUAGUAGUGGCGAGCGAACGCGGACCAGGCCAGUGACCAUCGAAGAAAGAAGCCGAACAGGUUGGAAAGCCUGACAAGAGUGGGUGAUAGUCCCGUAGGCGCAAUGUUCUCGAUGGUCCUCGAGUAGGGCGGGACACGUGAAAUCCUGUCUGAAAUUGGGGGGACCACCCUCCAAGCCUAAGUACUCGUGCAUGACCGAUAGUGAACCAGUACCGUGAGGGAAAGGUGAAAAGCACCCCGACAAGGGGAGUGAAAGAGAACCUGAAACCGGAUGCCUACAAACAGUAGGAGCCCAAGGUUUGUCCUGGGUGACUGCGUACCUUUUGUAUAAUGGGUCAGCGACUUAGUCUGGCGAGCGAGCUUAAGCCGAUAGGUGUAGGCGCAGCGAAAGCGAGUCUGAACAGGGCGUUCAGUUCGUCGGAUUAGACCCGAAACCGAGUGAUCUAGCCAUGAGCAGGUUGAAGGUGCGGUAACACGCACUGGAGGACCGAACCCGCAUCUGUUGCAAUAGAUUGGGAUGACUUGUGGCUAGGGGUGAAAGGCCAAUCAAACUCGGAAAUAGCUGGUUCUCCGCGAAAUCUAUUUAGGUAGAGCGUCGACCGAAUACUCCAGGGGGUAGAGCACUGAAUGGGCUAGGGGGACUCACCGUCUUACCAAACCCAAUCAAACUCCGAAUACCUGGAAGUACUAGUCGGCAGACACACGGCGGGUGCUAACGUCCGUCGUGAAGAGGGAAACAACCCUGACCGACAGCUAAGGUCCCCAAGUUAUGGCUAAGUGGGAAAGGAUGUGAGAAUCCCAAAACAACCAGGAUGUUGGCUUAGAAGCAGCCAUCAUUUAAAGAAAGCGUAACAGCUCACUGGUCUAGAUUUAAGGGUUCUUGCGCCGAAAAUGUAACGGGGCUCAAGCCAUACACCGAAGCUUCGGGUUUACGCCUCUGGCGUAAGCGGUAGCGGAGCGUUCCCUAGGCCGUUGAAGGAGGAUCCGUGAGGACCUCUGGAGGUAUGGGAAGUGCGAAUGCUGACAUGAGUAACGAUAAAGGGUGUGAGAGACACCCUCGCCGAAAGUCCAAGGGUUCCUGCUUAAAGUUAAUCUGAGCAGGGUGAGCCGGCCCCUAAGGCGAGGCCGAAAGGCGUAGUCGAUGGGAACCACGUUAAUAAUCGUGGGCCUGGUGGUGAGUGACGGAUCCCGUGUGUUGUCGACCCUUAUUGGAUUGGGUCGGCUGCGAAGGGGUCCCAGGAAAUANNNNNNNNNNNNNNNNNNNNNNNNNNNNNNNNNNNNNNNNNNNNNNNNNNNNNNNNNNNNNNNNNNNNNNNNNNNNNNNNNNNNNNNNNNNNNNNAAUAGCCCCACCGUAUAGACCGUACCCGAAACCGACACAGGUGGACUGGUAGAGCAUACCAAGGCGCUUGAGAGAACUGCGUUGAAGGAACUCGGCAAAUUGCACGCGUAACUUCGGAAGAAGCGUGACCUCCACGGGCGCAAGCUUGUGGUGGUGGCACAGACCAGGGGGUAGCGACUGUUUAUCAAAAACACAGGGCUCUGCGAAGUCGCAAGACGACGUAUAGGGUCUGACGCCUGCCCGGUGCUGGAAGGUUAAGAGGAGGGGUGCAAGCUCUGAAUCGAAGCCCCAGUAAACGGCGGCCGUAACUAUAACGGUCCUAAGGUAGCGAAAUUCCUUGUCGGGUAAGUUCCGACCUGCACGAAUGGCGUAACGACUUCCCCGCUGUCUCCAACGCAGACUCAGUGAAAUUGAAUUCCCCGUGAAGAUGCGGGGUUCCUGCGGUCAGACGGAAAGACCCCGUGCACCUUUACUAUAGCUUUACACUGGCAUUCGUGUCGGCAUGUGUAGGAUAGGUGGUAGGCUUUGAAGCGUGGGCGCCAGCUCGCGUGGAGCCAUCCUUGAAAUACCACCCUUAUCGUCAUGGAUGUCUAACCGCGGCCCGUCAUCCGGGUCCGGGACAGUGUAUGGUGGGUAGUUUGACUGGGGCGGUCGCCUCCCAAAGAGUAACGGAGGCGCGCGAUGGUGGGCUCAGACCGGUCGGAAAUCGGUCGUCGAGUGCAAUGGCAUAAGCCCGCCUGACUGCGAGACAGACAAGUCGAGCAGAGACGAAAGUCGGUCAUAGUGAUCCGGUGGUCCCGCGUGGAAGGGCCAUCGCUCAACGGAUAAAAGGUACGCCGGGGAUAACAGGCUGAUGACCCCCAAGAGUCCAUAUCGACGGGGUUGUUUGGCACCUCGAUGUCGGCUCAUCGCAUCCUGGGGCUGGAGCAGGUCCCAAGGGUUUGGCUGUUCGCCAAUUAAAGCGGUACGUGAGCUGGGUUCAGAACGUCGUGAGACAGUUCGGUCCCUAUCUGCCGUGGGUGCAGGAAUAUUGACAGGAUCUGUCCCUAGUACGAGAGGACCGGGAUGGACAUACCUCUGGUGGACCUGUUGUGGCGCCAGCCGCAGUGCAGGGUAGCUAUGUAUGGACGGGAUAACCGCUGAAGGCAUCUAAGCGGGAAACCCACCUGGAAACGAGUAUUCCCUAUCAGGGCCGUGGAAGACGACCACGUUGAUAGGCCGGAUGUGGAAGCGCGGUAACGCGUGAAGCUGACCGGUACUAAUCGCCCGAUCGGCUUGAUCGU
rnacentral:rRNA from 1 species